rnacentral:ncRNA from 1 species
ACGUCCUGCCUCGUGAUCGUCUUCUCAACCUUCACCUCGGCAGGCGGAUCAACGGAAGACCCCCGCGAGGACGUGACUCGCGGGGGUUUUCC